AUAUAUAUAUAUAUAUAGGUGUGUGUGUUUUCAUUUUCAAAAGGAAGAGUGGGGCAUAGAAAAAAAGCAAGCAACAUUACAUUGGAUAUGCAAGGAAACUUGUUCGGAUCAAGUAAGUAGCAUGUAUUUGGAGAGCGCAGAAGAAUACAGAAAUGAAUCACAUUUUGUAUGAAACAAGACCAUUCAAAACUGAAUGAUGAAAUAUUCUUGCAAAUGUUGUUCAACUGUCACUAUAAUGUUGUUCGCUUAUACUUUGAUCAGUACUGAUGGAACCUUUCGGUUUUCCUUCCAGUCAUUCCGGUACCUAUCGAACAAAGUUCUGAUCAGCUGUGUAGCGAUACUGUGUAAACAAAAUAAAUGCCAUAAACAUGUGAUUGACCAACUUUUUGGUAUGAAGGCCAACAAUAAAUACUAUGUUAGUGUAAAUUGAUU